rnacentral:misc_RNA from 1 species
AUGCUUUAAAGCUUCUCUCUCUGGUUUGGCUAGAGAGAAAAUUUUCUGCUUCUUUGGUUUCUUUCUUAGGAGCUUAGUCUCAUUUUCUUUGUCUACAACAAAACUUCCCCUGUCUCUACAGGGGGAGCUCUCUUCUGGCUUAGUCAUGGUUUUUCACUCUUCCCUCCACUAAGUCACGUGUAAAUAAGUUAUAUUGUUUGGGUUUUGUUGGGUUGCAAAUCCUAAAUUAAUGGCAAGGUGACUUCCUGGAGCUACUUUGUGUUGGUUCGUGUUUUUUCUGGCAACCGAUAGGCAUAUUUGCUAUUAGAUUUGCGAAGGGUUUGAGUUUAUGGAAGAUGGUUUCUCUAGGGUUUUUAGCCAGAUUAGCCCUUUCAUGAGUGACCCUCAAAGCUGAAUUGCCAUAUGAGCUUUGCCAUCUUCACCCUCCAUGAAACGUUUGUGUCAGUUAUAUUAUGUCUAGUUCCAUGACCUAGGUCUUUAGAAAUUUCUGUUCUGGCUCCUUCUAGUUUGGUUCUCAAGUGGGUAAACGAAGGUUCUUGGCUCGAUCUUUCUGGAGAAGCUGUCGUGGGUUUGAGGAGACUCUGCUUGGGCUUGAAUGGGGUUGCAUGGCAUCAUCCUUUAGAGUUUCUCCUCAAGUUGUGAUUGUUGGGUUCAAAUCAUCUUCCUCAGGCAGUUUAUAUCUUCGGGUUAUCGGCUUCAGGUGUAUGGUCAGCGCCGCUUCUCUGUCUUGGCCAGAUCCUCCUCUGUCUAAGGUUUCUAUUUGUGCUUUGGGCUUGCUGAGAAUCUUUUGUGUUUGACUUGAGUCUUGGGCUUAUUGAGAGCCUUAUUAUAAAUGGGUUAUGGGUUAGACUUGUUGUAUGGUGUUUUCCUUUUAUCAAUGAAUCAUCUAUCUCUUAAAAGGCAA